rnacentral:rRNA from 1 species
AUACGGGGCUUAAAGUCUUGUAAUUGGAAUGAUGGGAAUUUAAACCUCUUCCAGAGUAUCAAUUGGAGGGCAAGUCUGGUGCCAGCAGCCGCGGUAAUUCCAGCUCCAAUAGCGUAUAUUAAAAUUGUUGCAGUUAAAAAGCUCGUAGUUGAAUUUCUGCUGCAUUGCUUGUGUCCCUCUGGGGUCUGUGCAUGUGGCUUUUUUCGGACGGAGUUUCUUUGUCUGAAUGUUUACUUUGAGAAAAUUAGAGUGCUCAAAGCAGGCUUUCGCCUUGAAUAGUUUAGCAUGGAAUAAUAAAGUAGGACUUUGGUUCUAUUUUGUUGGUUUUAGGUACCAAAGUAAUGGUUAAUAGGAACAGUUGGGGGCAUUCGUAUUUAACUGUCAGAGG